rnacentral:rRNA from 1 species
CGGACGGGUGAGUAACACGUGGAUAACCUACCUAUAAGACUGGGAUAACUUCGGGAAACCGGAGCUAAUACCGGAUAAUAUAUUGAACCGCAUGGUUCAAUAGUGAAAGAUGGUUUUGCUGUCACUUAUAGAUGGAUCCGCGCCGCAUUAGCUAGUUGGUAAGGUAACGGCUUACCAGGGCAACGAUGCGUAGCCGACCUGAGAGGGUGAUCGGCCACACUGGAACUGAGACACGGUCCAG